AUAUCAAUAAGCGGAGGAAAAGAAACCAACAGGGAUUGCCUUAGUAACGGCGAGUGAAGCGGCAACAGCUCAAAUUUGAAAUCUGGCGCUUUCAGCGUCCGAGUUGUAAUUUGCAGAGGGCGCUUUGGCGUUGGCAGCGGUCCAAGUUCCUUGGAACAGGUCGUCACAGAGGGUGAGAAUCCCGUACGUGGCCGCGUGUCUUCGCCGUGUAAAGCCCCUUCGACGAGUCGAGUUGUUUGGGAAUGCAGCUCUAAAUGGGAGGUAAAUUUCUUCUAAAGCUAAAUACUGGCCAGAGACCGAUAGCGCACAAGUA
rnacentral:rRNA from 1 species